rnacentral:ncRNA from 1 species
GGGAAAGAAGACCUUGUUGAGCUUGACUCGGCGCUGCACUCGGCGGUGAAAUACCCCUACUCUGAUCGGUUUUUUCACUUACCCAGUGAGGCGGGGAGGUGAGCCCUGAGAGAGCAUGGCCCGCCCCGGGGACAGCAGCGGGUUGGGAGUUUGACUGGCCAAAGCAUAACAUGGGUGUCCUAAGCUGAGCUCAGGGAGGACAGAAACCUCCCACAGAGCAAAAGGGAAAAAGCUCGCUUGAUCUUGAUUUUUCAGUACGAAUACAGACCGUGCAAGCAGGGCCUCAUGAUCCUUCUGGAUUUUUGGGUUUUAAGCAGAAGGUUAGAACCUGCUUUAAGGCUACAUGAGUGUAUCGAUUAUGGGACAAGACACAGGCAGUUGCUCGUGGUCUGGGCUAUAAUUGUUCCACUUCAUCAUCUAUUUUUACACU